rnacentral:rRNA from 2 species
UAAGCCUGCGAAGGUGGCCUGUGAGGGUUGCUGGAGGUAUCAGAAGUGCGAAUGCUGACAUAAGUAACGAUAAAGCGGGUGAAAAGCCCGCUCGCCGGAAGACCAAGGGUUCCUGUCCAACGUUAAUCGGGGCAGGGUGAGUCGACCCCUAAGGCGAGGCCGAAAGGCGUAGUCGAUGGGAAACGGGUUAAUAUUCCCGUACUUGGUGUUACUGCGAAGGGGGGACGGAGAAGGCUAUGUUGGCCGGGCGACGGUUGUCCCGGUUUAAGCGUGUAGGCUGGUUUUCCAGGCAAAUCCGGAAAAUCAAGGCUGAGGCGUGACGACGAGGCACUACGGUGCUGAAGCAACAAAUGCCCUGCUUCCAGGAAAA